AAUCCAUGUUGUGGUCAGCAUCGAAUUAAAUCCUUAUACCUUUCCUAAGCUUGAUAGAGUGAUUCAAAAUCAUGUUGCUUGAAUUGAUCAAUCUCACUCCUGAGUUG